rnacentral:lncRNA from 1 species
GAUGAGGCUGUGUCCAGAUCCACUUCAGUCUGACAGGGCUGUAGAUGGUGUUCUUUCCUCAGAAGGUAGUUAUGUCUUGCUCUCUCUCUGAUGUUAGUGGCCAGUGAUACUCAAUGUCUAGGUCCAGUAAUUAUUGAGGAUUGUGAAAUAGUGAUAUUUUAAUUGAAUUUUUAAAUUGGUACUAGGGUAAUUUUAUAAAGAAACCAUUUCCUCAUCUAUUACUUGGUUUGCCAGUGGUAUAGUUCAUACAGGAAAGGCAAGAAAAUGAUUCUUUCGCCUUUAUUUUAGCAAUUUUACCUAUUUAUUUUGGGGGGGGAGUGCCCCAUGACAUAUGGAGUUCCUGGGCCAGGGAUCAGAUCCUUUAACUCACUGUGCCUGGCCAGGACUCAAACCCACGUCCUAUCAGAUUCAUUAACCACUGAGCCAUGAGGGGAACUCUUUUUUCUUUUCUUUUUCUAUUCUUUAAAUUUUUGUAAUACUAGUUAGAUUUCUUCCUCAGAUGUUUAGGAGACUUUACUGGGGAAGCUUUCUGGGCUUGCUGGAUUCUUUGUGGGAAGGUUAUUAAUUACUUAUUUGGUGUCUUGAUUUGGUAGAGAACUAUUCAGAUUUAAUUUUUCUGUUCACUUGUGGUAAAUGGUGUCUCAAGGAGUUUAUUUCACUUAGAAUUUCAAAUUAAGUAGUACAAAGUUAUUCAUAAUCUUUAUAUUUUGGACUUUGUAGUGAUGUCUUUUACAUUUCCAAUGGUAGUAAUUUGUGUUUUCGCCGUUUUUUUCUUAAUCAUUCUUGAUAGUCUUAUCAAUCAUAUUAAUCUUUUUAUAGAACUUUUUGCUUUUUAAAAAAAAUAAACUAUUGGAUUAUAGCUGACAGAAACUUUUGCUUUGAUUUUUUCUCAGUUUUAUGUUUAAAAUCUGUUUUGUUGAUUUCUACUCUUAUGAAUUUCUUCUACCUUUUCUGGGUUUAAUUUACUGCUCUUUUUCUGUCUUCUUGAGAGCAAAGCUUAAAUCAGUGAUUUUUUUUCAGUCAUUUUUUUCUCCUCUAAGAUGUGCAUUUGAACCUGUAAAUUAUCCUGUAAGCACUACUUUAACUUCAUCCCACAAAUUUUGAUGUGUUUCGUUUUCCUUAUCUUUCAGUACAGUCAAAAUAGUGUCUCAUUUCUUUUUUAACCCCUGGGUUGUUUAGUUUGCCUAAUUUCCAAUAUUUAGAAAUUUCCUAGUUAUCUUUCUUUUACUGACUUUUGUCAUGUAAUAAUUACUGUAUGGUUCCAAGCCCAGCAAAUUUGUUGAGGCCAGCGUUGUUGUUCAGCAUGUAGUCCAUUUUGUAAAUGUUCUGGUGCGUUUGAAAAGAAGGUGUUUUCUGUAGUUGUUGGGUGGAGUGACCUAUAAAUGUCAAGUCACCUGUCUGAUAAUGCUCUUCAACCCUUUUGUCCAGCUGUGGAUGUGAAAUUGUCUUAUUUCUCUAAGGUCUCUCAACUGAAGAGGUAUCUAUUUUGAAACUAUAUUAUUAAGUUCAUACAAAUUUAGCAGUGUUGUAUCUUUUGUGAGUUGGCCCUCUUACCUGGAUGAAAUCUCCCUUGUCUGUAAUGAUACUUUUUUUGGUAAUGUCUCUUUUGUCUGAUAUUAGUAUAUUCAUAGAGUUUUUUAUUGGUUGUGUUGUAUGGGUUGGAGGGGCAUAAAGUAGUUGAAAAGAGAAUUUCAACAGAUAGAAUUUGUUUUUGUUUUUGUGUGUCUUUGGCAUGCAGACGUUCCUGGGCCAGGGAUUGAACCCAAAC